rnacentral:rRNA from 1 species
GCCUACGGCCACACCACCCUGAUGGCGCUCAAUUUUGUCUGAACUCGGAAGUGAGCCAGGGCCGAACCUGGUUAGUACCUGGAUGGGUGACCACCUGGGAAUACCAGGUGUCGUGGGAU